GACGAACGCUGGCGGCGUGCUUAACACAUGCAAGUCGAACGAGACAAUUAAAAGCUUGCUUUUAAACGUCGAGUGGCAAACGGGUGAGUAACGCGUAGACAACCUGCCGCAAAGAUGGGGACAACAGUUCGAAAGGACUGCUAAUACCGAAUGUUCUGGAAGUUCCGCAUGGAAACUCCAGCAAAGAUGGCCUCUACUUGUAAGCGAUCGCUUUGCGAUGGGUCUGCGUCUGAUUAGCUAGUUGGUGAGGUAACGGCCUACCAAGGCGACGAUCAGUAGCCGGUCUGAGAGGAUGAACGGCCACAUUGGGACUGAGACACGGCCCAGACUCCUACGGGAGGCAGCAGUGGGGAAUCUUCCGCAAUGGGCGAAAGCCUGACGGAGCAACGCCGCGUGAGUGAAGAAGGUCUUCGGAUCGUAAAGCUCUGUUGCCGGGGACGAAUGUAGGCAAUGCAAACAGCAUUGUGUAAUGACGGUACCCGGCGAGGAAGCCACGGCUAACUACGUGCCAGCAGCCGCGGUAAUACGUAGGUGGCGAGCGUUGUCCGGAAUUAUUGGGCGUAAAGGGAGCGCAGGCGGGCGAGUAAGUCUUUCUUAAAAGUGCGGGGCUCAACCCCGUGAGGGGAGAGAAACUACUCAUCUUGAGUGCAGGAGAGGAAAGCGGAAUUCCUAGUGUAGCGGUGAAAUGCGUAGAUAUUAGGAAGAACACCAGUGGCGAAGGCGGCUUUCUGGACUGUAACUGACGCUGAGGCUCGAAAGCCAGGGGAGCGAACGGGAUUAGAUACCCCGGUAGUCCUGGCCGUAAACGAUGAAUGCUAGGUGUAGGGGGUAUCGACCCCUCCUGUGCCGGAGUUAACGCAAUAAGCAUUCCGCCUGGGGAGUACGGUCGCAAGACUGAAACUCAAAGGAAUUGACGGGGGCCCGCACAAGCGGUGGAGUAUGUGGUUUAAUUCGACGCAACGCGAAGAACCUUACCAGGGCUUGACAUUGAGUGACAGACUUAGAGACCAGUCAUUCUCUUCGGAGACACGAAAACAGGGUGGUGCAUGGGCUGUCGUCAGCCCGUGUCGUGAGAAUGUUGGGGUUAGUUCCGCCACGAGCGCCAGCCGUAUUCUCUGUUGCCAGCACGCGAAGGGUGGGAACUCGAAGGAGACUGCCCGCGACAACGCCGAGGAAGGCGGGGGAUACGUUUAGUAGUCAUGCCCCUUAGUUCUGGGCUCACCGAUCUACAGUGGG
rnacentral:rRNA from 1 species